CAGUUGUGCCAUCCCUGUUACUAGUCCAAGUUCAAAGAGGGAUGCCCACUUGUGUGCUGUCUGCAGCGAUCAUGCAUCGGGAUAUCACUAUGGAGUCUGGUCGUGUGAAGGAUGUAAGGCCUUUUUUAAAAGAAGCAUUCAAGGUACAAGAGUAUUGUUAGCUGCUUCUUUAGUUUUCCACUUUUGCUUUUAAACAAGUUUGCAGAUGACCUGGCAGAAAUUUCUCCUCUGGCCUGCUUGGUACACAAAGUACCUGAUGAGUGCUUCAGAGGAGUGUGUGUGUUUGGGGUGGGGUGGAAUGUUUCAAGUGUAGAGUACUUUAUUUUUCAUUGCAGAUCUCUACCCCAGAACCCAAAUGGAUCUCACCCCAUCAUCACCCAUUGCCUUCUUCUUGGGAGAAGACAUCUGCUUACAACCCUCAUGAAGAUAAAGCUUGGAAAAAAAGGGUGUGCUCAUUAGGAACUGCAAAAAUUGUUUCUUCCUUUGACUUAAAUUUACUGUCUGGCAUACGUAACAGUCAUGAUGGCUGGCUCCUGAGGAAGAGAGUAUAUAUAUAUGUUUUAUGGAAAUGAUCAGAAGUCACUAGUUCAACUCCAGUGGUCUUUGAGAAUUUAUCUAGAGGCAUGUCUUGCCAUGAACUAGUGGAACCUCCUUCACAAUCCCGUUUUCUGGUCUGGGUUUAGACUAUUUCCCUACCCUUCUCCAAAUUUCUGCUGGGCUGGGUUUUUGCUUGUUUUAAUCACCUUUUUAAUCCGUUUCAAAUUUUGUGCACCGGGUUUCAAGGCUAGUCAGCCCCUUGUUGCAUAUGUCCUUGCCAGCCCUGAUUUGCUGAAGGCACUUACUUGCUCACUUGGGCUCUUGGCUGUCUCUCUGCCCCUUAACCCUAUCCCUCGGCAGCCCUCCUCCCAGGCAGUGUCCUAUGUUCCCAUCUCAUAGCUCCCGUCCCUUUUCUGCCAAAGCCUCAGUGCCUUGUUCUUUUCUGGUUAAGGAAAGCAGCCUUAAAGCAAUUCAUAGUGUGCGAGUGGCAAACAGCAAUUUACUGAGUUAAUUCAUCCAGUGAUAACUCUAGAUUAAGAGAGCAUUUUACCUCAAGCAGAGAAGCUCAUGUAAUCUAGAGGGAGGUGAGGCGUAGAAUGUAAGUAGAUAAGGAAUCACCUUCCUCUGAGUCCCCUGAAAUUCACCCUUCAUAGAUGACUACCCGUUUACCCUGGACUCUCUACUUAGUAGCUCUGUGACUUUAAUUCCCAGCCUGUUUCCUCAUCUGUGAAAUGGAGAUACUCACAGAGUUGCUCUAAAAAUGAAACGAGGUUGCUUAUGUGAAAAUAUUUGGUCAAUUGUAAACAUCCUGCAAAUUCAAGUUAUUCUAGUUUUUCUUUUAACUCUUCAGUUUUCAGAUAUCAACGUUGUUUCUUUCUUUCUUGUAUUUCUCUUCUAAUCCUAAUCUCAUUUAAACUUACCUCCUCUAAAAUCUUCAUAGUUAGGUGGAUGAGGGCCCUCUGCCGUUUCCAAACUUUUCUUAUCAAAGGGAAGAACAACACAGGUCAAGGAAGCUGAUGUCAUCAGAUACCAUCAAAACGUAAAUCAUGGUUGCUCAUUUUUGCUUUUACAGACGCAGAGCUUUUCAUUCCACUUUCAUCAUAUUCAGUGCUUAAAGUUUUUUAUUUGUGAUCAUUGUGCUGGUAAGAUUAUAAGGCCAAGUCCAGUUUCCUGCGACAUAGGAUGAGAACAAUUCAGAUUUUGUGAAGCUCAGAACCAAACUCUUAAUAUGAUGACAAUUCUCUAUCUCGUUGAGGUUCUAGAAUUUUAUCUCCUAAGGAAAUUUUGACCCAAAACAACUAACUACAUCCUCAAAAAAGAGAAUUCUUCUUAUUUGCUGUUUGGGAAAAAUCUCUGCAUGGAAUAUCUUUCAUGAUGAUUGUAGCUGAGACUGUAGCUGAUAACAAUAAAAAGACAUAAUGAUUACAUUUGCCCAGCUACAAAUCAGUGUACAAUAGAUAAGAACCGGCGUAAAAGCUGCCAGGCCUGCCGACUUCGAAAGUGCCAUGAAGUCGGAAUGGUGAAGUGUGGCUCCCGGAGAGAAAGGUGUGGGUACCACAUAGUGCGAAGGCAGAGGGAUUCUGACGAGCGGCUGCACUGCCUGAGCAGAGCCGGGAAGAAUGGCGGACACGUGACCCGCGGGAAGGCACUGCUGCUGAGCGCCCUGAGCCCCGAGCAGCUGGUGCUCACGCUCCUCGAGGCCGAGCCGCCCCACGUGCUCGUGAGCCGCCCCCGCACACCCUUCACCGAGGCCUCCAUGAUGAUGUCCCUGACCGAGCUGGCCGACAAGGAAUUGGUACACAUGAUCAGCUGGGCCAAGAAAAUUCCGGGCUUCGUGGAGCUCAGCCUGUAUGACCAAGUGCGGCUCUUGGAGAGCUGCUGGUUGGAGGUGCUCAUGGUGGGGCUGAUGUGGCGCUCCAUCAACCACCCCGGCAAGCUCAUCUUUGCUCCAGACCUCGUUCUGGACAGGGAUGAAGGGAAAUGUGUAGAAGGAAUUCUGGAAAUCUUUGACAUGCUCCUGGCAACGACUUCAAGGUUUCGUGAGUUAAAACUCCAACACAAAGAGUAUCUCUGUGUCAAGGCCAUGAUCCUCCUCAACUCCAGUAUGUACCCUUCAGCUGUAGCAGCCCAGGAGGCUGAGAGCAGCCGGAAGGUGACUCAUCUACUGAACGCAGUGACGGAUGCUCUGGUCUGGGUGAUCGCCAAGAGCGGCAUCCCCUCCCAGCAGCAGUCUGUCCGCCUGGCUAACCUGUUGAUGCUCCUUUCUCACGUCAGGCACGCCAGUAACAAGGGCAUGGAACACCUGCUCAACAUGAAGUGCAAAAACGUGGUCCCCGUCUACGACCUGCUGCUGGAGAUGCUGAACGCCCACACACUUCGCAGCAGCAAGUCCUUGCUCACAGGGUCCGAGCGCAGCCCGACGGAGGAGAGUGAGAGCAAAGAGGGCUCCCAGAACCCCCAGGCUCAGUGAUGCCCAGCCCCGAGGUGUGAUCAGGCUACAGAGGAGGUCAGAGGCUGAAGCGUGAACUCCAACACGAAUCGCGAGCCCCGUCCGGAGGGGGCGGCCUUCAUUGGCUUUCUGCUGUGUGCGCCCUCGUGUGGCCCCUCAGUACCAUCCUUCCCCGACCUCUCCACUUCCCAGGAGUUAGGGUGAGAAAGCCAGUGCUUCUUGUCACCAGGGGGGAUGUGUGACUGCAGAGUUUACGUCUUGCUUGGCCUCAUGGGAUCUCAUUGUGGUCCCUCUCUUACUUCCCACCCCCCUCUACCCUUUGGAAAACAUCUUACAGGUUUGGAGUGACUGGUGGAAAUCUGACCUGGAAGCGUUGUCAGGUAGAAAGGGGAGAGAAUGUGGCACACGCACAAGGGGGCUAAGCCCUGCCCUUAGAAUAGUCCUUUGUAUGCUGCCUUCUGGACCACUUGAUUGUAGGAUUUAAAACCAUGAUGGCAAUCAACCCACUGGUUCUACACCCCUGCCUCACAGGCGUGUGAGGACAAACCCAAGGCCAGAGGGAAUGUGACCUAGGGAGCCAGUGGUCAAGCUGGGAUGUGAGCCACGUGCUUCCCCCAAAACCUUGCUGCCACCUUCAUGCAGGUUCACCCCUCUUGGUUUGCAUUCAGAGAGUCUGUGAAAUACGUGUGUGUGUGUGUGUGUGUGUGUCUGUGUGUGUGUGUGAUCCCCUUCAUGGAGGAGUGUGGGGAUUUAAAUACCCCUGCCCCUGGAAUUGCCCUUUUUUAAAACUCCCUUGUCCCAAGGGGCCCAGCGUGUGUGCUGGAGAGAGGACCAGUGUUUGCAGGGAUGGGGUUUCUCCUGUGGGUGUGGGUCACAGCCACAGUGCCUCCCUGGGGCAGCCCCAACUGCCACAUCAGCCACCCGGGGAGACAGGGACACUGAAGCCCAUGUGUGAGGCGUGCUGUUCCACGGAAGGAUGAAUAGCUACACACACGUCAGCGGGUCAGGUUCAGGGCCAAACUGUAAAGAUGGGAUGAGCAUACCAGUUGAAAAAGAUUGUGAACUCUAUUUAAAAAAGAGAAAUAUUUAGGGUCAUUAUUUAUAGCAAGAAAGAAUUCUUUUAUACCCUAGGGCUCUUUUAAAGUAUUUUCUUAUCAGAACAUUUAUAUGGUGGGCUAGGUGAAAUAAAAGCUUAGUAUUUGUUCUUAUUCCAAGUGGAACGUAAAUAGGACAUAAUGACAAAGCACCUCUGAAAUUUUAACUCGCUUUUUAAAAACUGGAAUUUUCCUACAAAUUUUCAGGAACAUAGUGAAUGCAUAAAACGACUUACAUCUGUACUUUGGAAGAGAGCAGUUAAAUAAUCAUGUGUGAUUUUUGCAAUGUUUUUAAAAAUUACCUUGUGAUAGGAGAUUAAACACAUUUGCUUUUUGAAAAUAGUAAAUACAGAAUGUGCUAGCCACAGUAAACCUAAGUCAUUAGGAAGAUUAUAUUCAACAACGUGAGGUUGGUUUCUGCCAGUGUGAUCUUGAAUAAUUCUUAAUUUUUAUAUUGAUGCAGUUUUACUAAAAAAGUUGAACAAAGCUGUAUCAGAAACACUUGGCCAUGUAUCUAGAGAACACACCGUUGUCUGUAUUCUGAGGUGAUUUGAAAUUAUUCUUAGUGACUUGAUGUUGCAAGCCUCCGUGAGAUUCAGCACAGCAAAUAUAUUUGACUUUAUAGGAGUCAUGGAACAGUAUUUUUCAGGUCAAUUUUAUUUCUUUCCGGCCAGUUUAGAGCCCCCCAUGAAACAGGGGAAUGGAGGCUAGAGGGUGGGAAGUGGGAGGCAAAGAAGGCAGCUGUGAACAAUUAUUUGCCAGUGAAAUUCUCUUAAUUAUAUUUAUGAAAGAGACUACCAGGUUGAAAAAACAAAAAUAAAAAACAACAGAAACAAAACAGAAUGAAGUCCAAGCCACCAUCCUACUACUGCGUUAGGGAAGUUUUUCAGGUUGGAUUUUGACGCCAAGGAAGGCAUCCGGUGGGUCUCAGGUGUCCCAGCACCUGUCUGUGCCAAACCCGUACGCUCACCCAUGCGGUACACCCUCUAAGGAAAACUCCUCCCGCACCCACGACCCAUCUUCCACAGACACUCCUGCAUACUGCUUGAGGCUGCUUGUUGGAUUUAGCCCGUGAGGAGGCUGUAACACUUUUGGUCAUUUCUUCUUGGCUGUGGUCUCACCUGGAUGCGCUGGGGAUAGAGGUGAGUCAGUCCAACCUGAGAGGCUGCCCUGGUGCAAGGCUGUCUCUUAGACUGGGGUCUGGGCCAGGUAGGCAGCUGAGAUAAUACGGUCUAUAGUUUAAAGGUGUUCUUUGAGUAUUCUAGGGCCCUUUCCCCCUUUCAGAUGAAAUGUGUGAAUCUCUGUUCCCAGCAGCUCCAAACAUGUCCUCUAAGCAUGACAAAGUGCAAGGUCAGGCUGCUGUUUUCAUUGUUUUCAUGGCUUUUGAGUAAACCUUCCAUGUCCAUUUUAAAGAUUAGCCGUUUCUCUUUAAUACGGCUUUCUUGCAAAUGUCUUCUUUCUGAGGGGUAUCUACCCACCCAAAUGGUCCAUGGGCAACUUAAAUUUCUCCGAUGGCUAAGCACAGUGUUUUUAAGUUCAGUUUUUAAAAGGAGUUAACUAGGGAGACUAGGACCUGACAACCAUAAACAAGAAUUCCAUAUUGGAAAGAAAAAAAAAACCACUCAACUACAUUUUAUGUAUUGUGGAAAAGGGAUGCUUUGCCUUAGACGUGUAUGGAGAGAUUCCUUUGCUCCAUUUUGGUUCGUAAGCCAUUAUUUAAUAUGACAGACUUAUUUACGAGAGAUGAGAUUUGAGCUAAAUUCCAAAAACAUGAGUGUCUAAUAUGGGAAUCAUAUAGACAAAUUUUAAUAAAAUAAUUAACAUGGAAUAUCUUAACACAGAAACCAUUAGCACAGUGUUCAUGCAGGUUCCUGGGAGAGCUGGCAACCCCUGAAAAGGACCUGCGUGGGCUGCCCCAGGAGAGCCACACAGUGAGUUGUCCGCGUUCUAACUGUAUCUCCCUCUGCCCUCAUCACAAUCCUCUCUCUCUGGCCUCAGGCCUGUCACAUGCUUAGUGUCCACCAGGACGAACUAUCAAUACAAAGGAUUCAACCCUAAAAUAAUUUUGAAGAGGUUUCUCUUCAAAAAUUGAGGUGGGAACAGAAGAUUAAGUUGUCAGCUUAAAAACAUUUCUGGAGGGUCUUAACUGUAUUAAAAACAAAAUAAUGCAAAAUCAGCAACAGCUCUUUGGUCAGACAGUCUCACUGGAUUACUUCCUCUGCUGACUCAGCUGCAAUUAUUUUCAAUUGCAUUUAAAAAAAUAUCAGUUUCCAAUUCCUGGCAGAGCUAUGCUAUAUAUUCGUAUGUAUACACUAAAUUGAAGCAAUUCUAGAAUGUUCUAGCAUGUGAAAACAGUUUGGUUAUUUAAAUCUAAGAAACUUACAUAUAUUGUCACCUUUUCAAAUUCAAAGGUGAACCUUCAGUUUCUAGGUCUAUUUUGAAACAAAACAUUUCUAUUUAAUAAAAUCUGACACGUUUCUUUAAGCCGCUAAAAGUCUUAAAAAGACAUAAUAAAGGUUAUGUGAAGGAAAUGAUAAAAAUAUAUUGCUUACUACCUAAAAAUAUUUGUGGAAUACUGACUGUGUACCAGACACAGUGCUCAGUGCCUCGUACAUUCAUGUUUAAUCCUCAUCCUAACUACUGGUAUCCCAGCUUUCUGGCUGUGGAAGGUAGCGUCUAAGCCAACUUGGUCACGGUCGCACGGGGAAUAAGGGACAGAGCCAGUGCUGAAAGUAAUCAUGCAGUUUAAAAAAACUAAAGGAAAAAUACUUUCCGACUGCAGAAUCCGUUUGUCAAAUGCAGUCUGACAUGCGUGGCUACUCUGGUUUCAGUGGGGCCUGCUUGUGCCAUCCCCACCCCCAAUUUCCAGAACACCCCUGUAGACAAGGCGUGCAGUCCCAUACGUGUGUGAAUUAAAGCCCAGAGGGGUAAACGGAACUGCUCAAGCUCAUAAAACUACUUAUGGCAAAAUCUGGACCAGAAUUCAGGUCUUCUGCCUGCCUGGCCAGCACUGCUUCUGCUAGACGUGCGUGCGUAGGAGUCUGCUGCCUGAGCUGAGUCUUGGUGCGUAGAGGAGAGAUGGUUACGUCAUGUACAGUUGCCUCCUGCUGUACCAUCUGUCUUCUGACCUUUGAUGGGGUCUGCAUGAACCUUUACAGGAUAGCAGCCAUGACAGGUGGGAGAAAAUAAGAUGGAUUAUAUCAUUCCUGCCUUCCCAUCCUGGGCUCAUAAGCUUGUGGGUGGCACUGCCAUCACCUCCUCCUGUCUCUUAUUAUUUUCCCCAGAUGUGUUGCCAUGAAGUGGAUUCCCUGGAAACUUACCCGUGUAAAUUCACACACCUUUUAGGCAUUGAUGUUUCCCCGUGGAGUAUGGUCUACUGCAGUGCAAAACAGAUGCAUUUUUUUCCCCCUCCUGCGACUCCCCUCUACGCUCCCCGUUUAUUCUUUAUAGCUCUCCAAGUUGCUGGAACGUUGGUUCCACUGGCAACUUGAAGAUGUGCAUUCUUUGCAGUGUUAUUCUUAUAACCCUUCUUGUUGCGUUGGAGUCAAGGAUCCAUUUUCUUUUCUUCUUUUUUCUUUCCUGAAUGCCAAGGAUCCUAUUGACUUGUGGGGCCAGUCAGUGUUAUGUGAUGGUGGGCUUCCUUUACGGGAAGGACAAAGGUCUAACGAUGCUAGCCCAGAACAGCUCCUGUAGCUCAACAUUCUCUGUGCUGCUGUGUUUCUCUUUCUGUGCUGGGGGUCUAAGUGCCAUGACUGUGGGUCCUGUAACGUUAUUCAGUGGUCCUGUGCACCUCAGAGCCCUCUGGCAGGCUAUAACUUGUCAUUUUUCUUUUCAGAUGAAUGCUCUGUACCAUUAAGCAGGCUUUUAAAUGUGGGCCUUUUGACAAAUGAAUGUUUGCUGUCAUGUGAAAGCAGAUUUUGAGAUCUGCUUUCCAUUCCCCCAGGUUUGCAGAGCCCUUUGAGACUUUGAUGAAAACCACAGACACUCUUCCUGGAAAAAGGUACAUAAACAAAAUGCUUACGUACAAUUUCAAGAGUUAAGAAUCUCUGACUUAAACUGUUGAAGACUUUUUAAACAGCAGUGAUUUAAAUCUUUAGUCAGCUAAUCUCACAGUUGUGACUUAUGACCGAAGGCACUGUGUGCUCAAGUAAAUUGCAGCUCACACAUAUAAAAGUCCUGGUAUGCAAUGCAUCAAUUUUGGGGGGUAAUUUUGUGUAAUUACCUCAUUUGAGUGAAUUAGUAUUAUACCCCACUAGGGAUGGAGAGAAAAGUAAUUCAUUCAUACUGAAGUUAAUGCCAAGGGUUAUUUUAAAAUUUCUUGCAUGUGGGGAGUGUAAGAUGCAAAACCUCUUGAAGGUGUAAAACACAAAUUAUCUCAAAACUAGAGCCAGGGAACACACUGAGCUGUGAGUGAAGGAAGUCUUCCUCGGGGUGGAAGGCUGGAGUACAGACUCAAGACUCAGAGACUUCUAUCCUGAGAGUUGAUGUGUAUCAUUAGACUUGAAAAUGCAGAUAACACUCUGCUUUCUCUGCAACUUGAACUUGCCCCCAGAGUCCCUCCUUACAGGCAGAAAAGGUCUCUAGAACAGUCACCUCCACUGGGCUGGAAAGAAGGGAAGGAAGUAGAGAUUCUGCCUUUUGUGAAACUGGAGCAAGGACCUUCUAACCAACUCAAUGGCUUAAAGAAAAAGUUUGGGUAAUAUUUUCAGUUAAAUUUCCCUCUAAGGUUGUUAUAAUCCAUGAAUUAUUUUAGAGUUAAGAGACUUUGAGGUUGCAUGGUAAAACAGUACCUUUGUCUCCACAUCACUUCUAACAAUUUGAUAAAGUGAAGACAGACUCUCUUCAGCUGGUCCAUUUACGUAAAGCUACUCGUGAACUGCACACAUCCUGGGGUUUCUGACUCACAGAAGGGCUGCCAGGGCUGAAGUCUGGGCUUCAUCUACUGACAAGCUUCCUUGGCUUCCCUGAGGUUGGGGCUUUGCAGAGAAGGUGAGAGGGACCGAGAUUGCUUCCAGUCCAUGCUGUCUCCCGAGUGUCAAGAGAUGCAGCUUAGGAGCAGGUAACGGAGGAACUGGAUCAGUAACUUCUUUUUUUUUUUUUAAUAUUCUUUUCCAUUAUGGUUUAUCAUAGGAGAUUGAAUAUAGUUCUCUGUGCUCUACAGUAGGCUCUUGUUGUUUGUCCAUUCUCUACAUAAAAGCUUACAUGUGCUAACCCUGGCCGCCCUCUCUAUCCCUCCCCCAAUCCCCUCCCCCUUGGCAACCACAUCUGUUCUCUAUGUCUGUGAUUCACUGUUUCAUAGGCUCAUUUGCAUAUUUUAUAAAUUUAUUUAUUUAUUGGCUGAGUUGGGUCUUUGUUGCUGCACGUGGGCUUUCUCUAGUGGUAGUGAGUGGGGGCUACUCUUUGCAUUGCGGUGGCUUCUCUUAUUGCUGAGCACAGGCUCUAGGCACGCAGGCUUCAGUAGUUGUGGCACAUGGGCCCAAUAGUUGUGGUUCACGGGCUCUAGAGCACAGGCUCAGUAGUUAUGGUGCACGGGUGUAGUUGUUCCACAGCAUGUGGGAUCUUCCUGGACCAGGGCUCAAACCCAUGUCCCCUGCAUUAGCAGAUGGAUUCUUAACCACUGUGCCACCAGGGAAGUCCUGCAUCAUAUUUUAGAUUCCACAUAUAAGUGACAUAUGGUAUUCAUCUUUCUCUUUCUGACUUACAUAGUAUGAUAACUUCUAGUUGCAUCCAUGUUGCUGCAAAUGGCAUUAUUUCAUUCUUUUUUAUGGCUGAGUCGUAUUCCAUCGGAUGUAUAUACCACGUCUUCUCUAUCCAUUCAUCUGCUGAUGGACAUUUAGGUUGUUUCCGUGUCUUGGCUGUUGUGAAUAGUGCUGCUGUGAACAUAGAGGUGCCUAUAUCUUUUAGAAUUAUAGGUUUCUCUGGAUAUAUGCCCAUGAGUGGGAUUGCUGGGUCAUAUGGCAACUCUAUUUUUAGUUUUCUGAGGACCCUCCAUACUGUUUUCCACAGUGGCUGCACCAACUUACAUUCCCACCAACAAUGUAGGAGGGUUCCCUUUUCUCCACAUCCUCUCCAGCAUUUGUUAUUUGUAGACUUUUUAAUGAUGGCCAUUCCAACCGGUGUGAGGUGGUACCUUGUAGUUUUGAUUUUCAUUUCUCUUAUAAUUAGUGAUAUUGAGCAUCUUUUCAUGUGCCUAUUGCCCAUCUGUAUGUCUUCUUUGGAGAAAUGUCUGUUUAGGUCUUCUGCCCAUUUUUGGAUUGGGUUGUUUUGUUGUUGUUGUUGAGUUGUAUGAGCUGUUUGUAUAUUUUGGAAAUUAAGCCUUUGUUGGUCACAUUGUUUACAAAUAUUUUCUCCCAUUCUGCAGGUUGUCUUUUUGUUUUGUUUAUGGUUUCUUUGAUGUGCAAAAGCUUAUAAGUUUGAUUAGGUCCCAUUUGUUUAGUUUUGUUUUUAUUUGUAUUGCCUUGGGAGACUGACUUAAGAAAACACUGGUACGAGUUAUGUCAGAGAAUGUUUUGCCUAUGUUCUCUUCUAGGAGUUUUAUGGUGUCAUGUCUUAUGUUUAAGUCUUUAAGCCAUUUUGAGUUUAUUUUUGUGUACGGUACAAGGGUGUGUUCUAACUUCACUGAUUCACAUGUGGCUGUCCAGCUUUCCCAACACCACUUGCUGAAAAGACUGUCUUUUUCCCAUUAUAUAUUCUUGCCUCCUUUGUUGAAGAUUAAUUGACCAUAGGUGUGUGGGUUUAUUUCUGGGCUGUCUAUCCUGUUCCAUUUGGAUCAGUAACUUCUAAUCAUACUCUCUGGGUGGGAAAUAGACAGUAGUGCUGCAGUUGUAUGGAAAGCAGUUAAACACUAUGUGUUAGUUCACUCUGGAGGGAGCUGGGAGUACAAAGAUCUGGGUGAAAUGAUUGUCUUGUGUCCACCUUCCACACCGUGCUGCCCUCAUUACCCCCUACAGCAUUGGAGGCUCACACACAGGUUUCUAGAUCUCAUAAAUUAUUCUGUACAAAGUUAAUAAACCCAUAAAUCCUCUCAAAUAUUUUAAAAAUAAGUUUUGCUCUAUGGAAGAUUACGCAGAGCAUUUAACUGUUUUGAAAUAUAAUCCAGUAUGACAAAAGUAUGGCU